ACGCUGGCGGCGUGCUUAACACAUGCAAGUCGAACGGUGAACACGGAGCUUGCUCUGUGGGAUCAGUGGCGAACGGGUGAGUAACACGUGAGCAACCUGCCCCUGACUCUGGGAUAAGCGCUGGAAACGGCGUCUAAUACUGGAUAUGUGACGUGACCGCAUGGUCUGCGUCUGGAAAGAAUUUCGGUUGGGGAUGGGCUCGCGGCCUAUCAGCUUGUUGGUGAGGUAAUGGCUCACCAAGGCGUCGACGGGUAGCCGGCCUGAGAGGGUGACCGGCCACACUGGGACUGAGACACGGCCCAGACUCCUACGGGAGGCAGCAGUGGGGAAUAUUGCACAAUGGGCGCAAGCCUGAUGCAUCAACGCCGCGUGAGGGACGACGGCCUUCGGGUUGUAAACCUCUUUUCGCAGGGAAGAAGCGAAAGUGACGGUACCUGCAGAAAAAGCGCCGGCUAACUACGUGCCAGCAGCCGCGGUAAUACGUAGGGCGCAAGCGUUAUCCGGAAUUAUUGGGCGUAAAGAGCUCGUAGGCGGUUUGUCGCGUCUGCUGUGAAAUCCGGAGGCUCAACCUCCGGCCUGCAGUGGGUACGGGCAGACUAGAGUGCGGUAGGGGAGAUUGGAAUUCCUGGUGUAGCGGUGGAAUGCGCAGAUAUCAGGAGGAACACCGAUGGCGAAGGCAGAUCUCUGGGCCGUAACUGACGCUGAGGAGCGAAAGGGUGGGGAGCAAAC
rnacentral:rRNA from 1 species